rnacentral:rRNA from 1 species
GACGUAGGGCGCGAGCGUUGUCCGGAUUUAUUGGGCGUAAAGAGCUCGUAGGCGGCUUGUCGCGUCGUCCGUGAAAACUUGGGGCUCAACCCCAAGCUUGCGGUCGAUACGGGCAGGCUCGAGUUCGGUAGGGGAGACUGGAAUUCCUGGUGUAGCGGUGAAAUGCGCAGAUAUCAGGAGGAACACCGGUGGCGAAGGCGGGUCUCUGGGCAGUAACUGACGCUGAGGAGCGAAAGCGUGGGGAGCGAACAGG